CGGGGCGUAGCUCAGCCUGGCUAGAGCACCGGCUUUGGGAGCCGGGGGUCGCUGGUUCGAAUCCAGUCGCCCCGA
rnacentral:tRNA from 1 species